CUGAAGAGUUUGAUCAUGGCUCAGAUUGAACGCUGGCGGCAGGCCUAACACAUGCAAGUCGAGCGGUAACAGGGGUAGCUUGCUACCCGCUGACGAGCGGCGGACGGGUGAGUAAUGCAUGGGUAUCUGCCCGGUAGUGGGGGAUAACUCGGGGAAACCCGAGCUAAUACCGCAUACGUCCUACGGGAGAAAGCAGGGGAUCUUCGGACCUUGCGCUAUCGGAUGAGCCCAUGUCGGAUUAGCUUGUUGGUGAGGUAACGGCUCACCAAGGCGACGAUCCGUAGCUGGUCUGAGAGGAUGAUCAGCCACACCGGGACUGAGACACGGCCCGGACUCCUACGGGAGGCAGCAGUGGGGAAUAUUGGACAAUGGGGGAAACCCUGAUCCAGCCAUGCCGCGUGUGUGAAGAAGGCCUUCGGGUUGUAAAGCACUUUCAGUGGGGAAGAAGGCAUGAUGAUUAAUACUCGUCAUGAAGGACAUCACCCACAGAAGAAGCACCGGCUAACUCCGUGCCAGCAGCCGCGGUAAUACGGAGGGUGCAAGCGUUAAUCGGAAUUACUGGGCGUAAAGGGCGCGUAGGCGGCUUGCCAAGCCGGAUGUGAAAGCCCCGGGCUCAACCCGGGAACGGCAUUCGGAACUGGUAGGCUAGAGUGCAGGAGAGGAAGGUGGAAUUCCCGGUGUAGCGGUGAAAUGCGUAGAGAUCGGGAGGAAUACCAGUGGCGAAGGCGGCCUUCUGGACUGACACUGACGCUGAGGCGCGAAAGCGUGGGUAGCAAACAGGAUUAGAUACCCUGGUAGUCCACGCCGUAAACGAUGUCGACCAGCCGUUGGACCCCUUGAGGGUUUGGUGGCGCAGUUAACGCAAUAAGUCGACCGCCUGGGGAGUACGGCCGCAAGGCUAAAACUCAAAUGAAUUGACGGGGGCCCGCACAAGCGGUGGAGCAUGUGGUUUAAUUCGAUGCAACGCGAAGAACCUUACCUGCUCUUGACAUCCUGCGAAUUCCUCAGAGAUGAGGAAGUGCCUUCGGGAGCGCAGAGACAGGUGCUGCAUGGCUGUCGUCAGCUCGUGUUGUGAAAUGUUGGGUUAAGUCCCGUAACGAGCGCAACCCCUAUCCCUUUUUGCCAGCGCGUAAUGGCGGGAACUUCAGGGAGACUGCCGGUGACAAACCGGAGGAAGGUGGGGACGACGUCAAGUCAUCAUGGCCCUUACGAGCAGGGCUACACACGUGCUACAAUGGCCGGUACAAAGGGUUGCGAAGCGGCGACGUGAAGCCAAUCCCAGAAAGCCGGCCUCAGUCCGGAUCGGAGUCUGCAACUCGACUCCGUGAAGUCGGAAUCGCUAGUAAUCGUGGAUCAGAAUGCCACGGUGAAUACGUUCCCGGGCCUUGUACACACCGCCCGUCACACCAUGGGAGUGGACUGCACCAGAAGUGGUUAGCUUAACCUUCGGGAGAGCGAUCACCACGGUGUGGUUCAUGACUGGGGUGAAGUCGUAACAAGGUAGCCGUAGGGGAACCUGCGGCUGGAUCACCUCCUU
rnacentral:rRNA from 1 species